UUGAUCCUGGCUCAGAUCGAGCGCUGGCGGCGUGGCUAAAACAUGCAAGUCGUACGGAAAGGUUGCUUCUGAUCCUUCGGGUGACGAAGCGAUACUCGAGUGGCGAAAGGGCGAGGAAUACAUGGGCAACGUGCCUUAUGCACGAGGAUAACUGCGGGAAGCUGCAGUUAAUACUCGAUAAGACCACAGCAUCUUCGGAUGCAGCGGUCAAAGGUGGGGACCUUCGGGCCUACCGGCAUUAGAGCGACCCAUGUCCUAUCAGCUUGUUGGUGAGGUAACGGCUCACCAAGGCGACGACGGGUACCGGGACUGAGAGGUUGACCCGGCGCAUCGGGACUGAGACACUGCCCGGACUCCUACGGGAGGCUGCAGUAACGAAUAUUCCGCAAUGGGCGAAAGCCUGACGGAGCGACGCCGCGUGUGGGAGGAAGCCCCUCGGGGUUGUAAACUGCUGUCAGGGUUUAGGAAGCAAGUGACCAAACCCAAAGGAAGGGCCGGCUAACUUCGUGCCAGCAGCCGCGGUAAUACGAAGGGCCCGAGCGUUAAUCGGAAUCACUGGGCUUAAAGGGUGCGUAGGCGGAAACGUCAGUGUCUUGUGAAAUCCCACGGCUCAACCGUGGAACUGCAGGGCAUACUUGCGUACUUGAGGCCGGUAGAGGUCGUCGGAACUCUAGGUGUAG
rnacentral:rRNA from 1 species